GCCUUCGUGGUGUAGUGGUUAGCGCGCUCGACGCGUAUUCUAACGAUCCGUGGUUCGAUUCCAGGCGAAGGCG
rnacentral:tRNA from 1 species